AUGACGGACUUCGCCCCCCUAUCGGAGCCUGAUGCAUCAACGCCGCUUGUCGCGCGGGACAUCAGCUGGUUAAAAGCCAUAUAUCUUAUGACAGUAGUUGCUGCCACAAUCCUGCCCCUCCUCUCGAUCCACCCCUCCCGCUGCGACCUCUCUCUUCCCUCGUCUCCCGCUCCACCGCCGCCGCCCCAUCUCCCGCUCCAUCGCCGCCGCCCCAUCUCCCGUCUCCAGUCGCAGCCGCCGCCGCACCCCAAUCCAACACCGCCGCCGGCAAUCUCCUCGCCCCCCUGCGCCGCCGCCCCCAACCUUCUAUUCCUCUCCCAAGGGAAUCCCAAGGGAAGUGAAGGGAAGGGAAGGGAAGGCAAGGGAAGGGAAGGGAAGGAAGAGGGAGCGCCCAGAUCCACGGCGGCAUCAGCGCGCCGUCAUCGACCCGAUCCGCGUCCGUCCUCGAGGGAGGUCGGCCAUGGAGGUCCGACCCGGCCCGGCAGAAGCCAUGGACGGACGGAGACGCCCCAAACCCUACCCUCAAGGACGACGCCUCAACCUUCAAGGACGCGCGCCGGCGACCGCGGAUCUCCGGUGACGGCUAUGCUGCAGCAGCAGCUGGACGACCGAACGCACGAGCCCUCCCUCCCUCCCUCAUGGCUCUGCUUCUUCCUACCCUGCCCCCCUCACGUUGGCGUGGUGAGCUUCAUACCCCCCGUGCACAUCUCAUCUCAUCUCAUCAAAUCUAGAUUGCUCUGGACGUAUUUAUCCUGUAAGGGUUGUGUCGGCAGGAGCAUAGAUGGUGCACAGGAGAGCUGCCUUGUCAUUGAUAGAGGAAGUAAAGAAAAAAAGUUCCACUAUAAUGUUGUUGAUGAUAGCCAAGCCGCCGCCUCUCCGCCGAGAAAGAAGGAUCCCGAUCUCCGCCGUGGUCGACAAACAGCGCGAUGGGCGGAGCACCCAGCCGGUAGGCUCAUCCCUUCUCCGAUCCACUCCGGCGGCGGCCAUCGUUGGAAAGAGAUGCAGACGAGAGGAAGAGAGCCUCCCCAAGCUCUGUCUAGGCGAUGCACGAGCGACAACCACCCUUCCUGUUAUUGCCUCCAUGGCUGGCUGCUCAUCCCCAGGAACCUCCUCCCCUCUCACGUGCGCCACACUCUGGGAUUAAGGGCGUGGUCACAUUGCAGGCAGCAAGGAGCAGCGCAAAGUUGUCUCGGCCUUGCCCUGCAUCGAGGAGGAACACAGCUUCCCCUCCUCUCGAUCCACCCCUCCCGCUGCGACCUCUCUCUUCCCUCGUCUCCCGCUCCACCGCCGCCGCCCCAUCUCCCGCUCCAUCGCCGCCGCCCCAUCUCCCGUCUCCAGUCGCAGCCGCCGCCGCACCCCAAUCCAACACCGCCGUCGGCAAUCUCCUCGCCCCCCUGCGCCGCCGCCCCCAACCUUCUAUUCCUCUCCCAAGGGAAUCCCAAGGGAAGUGAAGGGAAGGGAAGGGAAGGCAAGGGAAGGGAAGGGAAGGAAGAGGGAGCGCCCAGAUCCACGGCGGCAUCAGCGCGCCGUCAUCGACCUGAUCCGCGUCCGUCCUCGAGGGAGGUCGGCCAUGGAGGUCCGACCCGGCCCGGCAGAAGCCAUGGACGGACGGAGACGCCCCAAACCCUACCCUCAAGGACGACGCCUCAACCUUCAAGGACGCGCGCCGGCGACCGCGGAUCUCCGGUGACGGCUAUGGUGAGUGUGUACCUGCGGACGUUCUUCCUCGGAUUCAUCAUCUCCCCCUGCUCCUGCGGCAGCAGCUGGACGACCGAACGCACGAGCCCUCCCUCCCUCCCUCAUGGCUCUGCUUCUUCCUACCCUGCCCCCUCACGUUGGCGUGAGGUUCCACAUGCUGCUCUCUACUUUGUGCCACUGAAUGAAAGAUCAAUUUAUAUUCUUUUGAUUUCUGUCACAGGUUUAUGCUUCUUUUCAAUUAUGCAAUUUAGAAAGAAAAAAAGUAUGUUAUUAUGUCAUUAUACCAUGUCAGUAUAUGUCAUGGAGGCCGCCAAGCCGCCGCCUCUCCGCCGAGAAAGAAGGAUCCCGAUCUCCGCCGUGGUCGACAAACAGCGCGAUGGGCGGAGCACCCAGCCGGUAGGCUCAUCCCCUUCUCCGAUCCACUCCGGCGGCGGCCAUCGUUGGAAAGAGAUGCAGACGAGAGGAAGAGAGCCUCCCCAAGCUCUGUCUAGGCGAUGCACGAGCGACAACCACCCUUCCUGUUAUUGCCUCCAUGGCUGGCUGCUCAUCCCCAGGAACCUCCUCCCCUCUCACGUGCGCCACACUCUGGGAUUAAGGUCUGCUCCUUGGCUGACAUUUGCGCAGACCGAUUCUUUGGUUUCUCUCCACCGAAGAAUGAAAGAAACAAGCAAGCUGAUGUCUAACAUAUUCCUUCCCCUCCUCUCGAUCCACCCCUCCCGCUGCGACCUCUCUCUUCCCUCGUCUCCCGCUCCACCGCCGCCGCCCCAUCUCCCGCUCCAUCGCCGCCGCCCCAUCUCCCGUCUCCAGUCGCAGCCGCCGCCGCACCCCAAUCCAACACCGCCGUCGGCAAUCUCCUCGCCCCCCUGCGCCGCCGCCCCCAACCUUCUAUUCCUCUCCCAAGGGAAUCCCAAGGGAAAGGUUCCACAUGCUGCUCUCUACUUUGUGCCACUGAAUGAAAGAUCAAUUUAUAUUCUUUUGAUUUCUGUCACAGGGUUCCACUAUAAUGUUGUUGAUGAUAGCCAAGCCGCCGCCUCUCCGCCGAGAAAGAAGGAUCCCGAUCUCCGCCGUGGUCGACAAACAGCGCGAUGGGCGGAGCACCCAGCCGGUAGGCUCAUCCCCUUCUCUGAUCCACUCCGGCGGCGGCCAUCGUUGGAAAGAGAUGCAGACGAGAGGAAGAGAGCCUCCCCCAAGCUCUAUCUAGGUGAUGCACGAGCGACGACCACCCUUCCUGUUAUUGCCUCCAUGGCUGGCUGCUCAUCCCCAGGAACCUCCUCCCCUCUCACGUAUCUAGGGCAGGGCGUGGUCACAUUGCAGGCAGCAAGGAGCAGCGCAAAGUUUUCUCGGCCGUGCCCUGCAUCGAGGAGGAACACAGAUGUUCCGGGAUUGCUAGCUCCUGCCAGGCAGUGCCCUCCCCUUCAGCAGGAGAUCUUGCUGGUUCUGCAUGGCACAACUGGAUUAAAUAUGCUACAGCAAGCGAAGGAGUUCAACGAUGUUGUUGGAAUCAAAGGAUUCAUCCUAACGAAAUUAGACGGGACUGCUCGUGUUGGAUGUGUGGUGAUAUCAUUUGAUACCAUGCUUGAUUUGUACUACUACUUAAAAAUUAGCUUUCUUGCAGCCGUGGUUGAUUUGCAGAUGAGGCGUUGGGAGGGGAUUAGUGUGGAGAGAGGGGCGAUUAGCGGAGGACUCCUACUUGGCAGUCCAUGGGAGGGGGUGUGUGGAGUUGGUCAAGGGCGGGCUCGCUGCGACCCAGACGUGUGCGUGCAUGUUGGGCGCGGGCAGAGCGGGCCGGACCAGGCGCUCCACAUGGACGGGGACGUGGGGUGCGCGCCCAGACAUGGCCCAGGAUAUAAGACCCCCCUAGACAUUGUAACAGGUGUGGGUUGA
rnacentral:rRNA from 1 species